CCUACGGGUGGCUGCAGUGGGGAAUAUUGGGCAAUGGGCGCAAGCCUGACCCAGCAACGCCGCGUGAAGGAAGAAGGCUUUCGGGUUGUAAACUUCUUUUCUCAGGGACGUAGCAAGUGACGGUACCUGAGGAAUAAGCCACGGGUAACUACGUGCCAGCAGCGGCGGUAAUACGUAGGUGGCAAGCGUUAUCCGGAUUUACUGGGUGUAAAGGGCGUGUAGGCGGGAAAGCAAGUCAGAUGUGUAAAUCAUGGGCUCAACCUGGGCCCUGAGAUCAAAACUGUCGGACUUGAGUACAGGAGGGGGAACUGGAAGUCCUAGUGGAGCGGGGGAAUGCGUAGAGAUUAGGAGGGAAGCCAGGGGAGAAGGCGAGUUGCUGGACUGGAACUGACACUGAGGCACGAAAGCGUGGGGAGCAAACAGGAUUAGAUACCCUUGGAGUC
rnacentral:rRNA from 1 species